UUUCCGUAGGUGAGCCUGCGGAAGGAUCAUUAUUGUAUAACCGAGGUGCGAGGGCUGUCGCUGACUCGAAAGGUCGUGCACGCCCGAGUGCCCUCACACACAUCCAUCUCACCCCUAUGUGCACCACCGCGUGGGUCCCCCUUUGGCUUGUUCGGAGGGGGGCUUACGUUUUCACACAAACUUUGUAUGCAGUGUAGAAUGUAUUUUUUGUUUUUGCGAUCACGCAAUCAAUACAACUUUCAACAACGGAUCUCUUGGCUCUC
rnacentral:misc_RNA from 1 species